CCCGUGCUACAACCGCACAUUACAGGUUUAAGAGCCGAAAAGCCACCUGGUUAGAUGGCGAGUCUGAGUGAAUAA
rfam:Jeotgalibacillus soli Cunha et al. 2012 strain P9 contig00019, whole genome shotgun sequence.